rnacentral:rRNA from 1 species
CCUACGGGAGACAGCAGUGAGGAAUAUUGGUCAAUGGCCGCAAGGCUGAACCAGCCAAGUCGCGUGAAGGAUGACUGUCCUAUGGAUUGUAAACCUCUUUUAUCAAGGAAUAAAGUGCGCCACGUGUGCCUUUUUGCAUGUACCUUAUGAAUAAGCAUCGGCUAACUCCGUGCCAGCAGCCGCGGUAAUACGGAGGAUGCGAGCGUUAUCCGGAUUUCUUGGGUUUAAAGGGUGCGCAGGCGGGAUGUUAAGUCAGCGGGAAAAUUUCGGGGCUCAACCCAGAAGUGCCGUUGAAACUGGCGUUCUUGAGUGAGCGAGAGGUAUGCGGAAUGCGUGGUGUAGCGGUGAAAUGCAUAGAUAUCACGAAGAACUCCGAUUGCGAAGGCAGCAUACCGGAGCUCAACUGACGCUCAUGCACGAAAGCGUGGGUAUCGAACAGGAUUAGAUACCCCUGUAGUC